rnacentral:rRNA from 1 species
GACCCUUCGGGGUUAGUGGCGCACGGGUGCGUAACGCGUGGGAACCUGCCUUUAGGUUCGGAAUAACAGUUAGAAAUGACUGCUAAUACCGGAUAAUGUCUUCGGACCAAAGAUUUAUUGCCUUUAGAUGGGCCCGCGUUGGAUUAGAUAGUUGGUGGGGUAAUGGCCUACCAAGUCGACGAUCCAUAGCUGGUCUGAGAGGAUGAUCAGCCACACUGGGACUGAGACACGGCCCAGACUCCUACGGGAGGCAGCAGUGGGGAAUAUUGGACAAUGGGCGAAAGCCUGAUCCAGCAAUGCCGCGUGAGUGAUGAAGGCCUUAGGGUUGUAAAGCUCUUUUACCAGGGAUGAUAAUGACAGUACCUGGAGAAUAAGCUCCGGCUAACUCCGUGCCAGCAGCCGCGGUAAUACGGAGGGAGCUAGCGUUGUUCGGAAUUACUGGGCGUAAAGCGCACGUAGGCGGCUUUUCAAGUCAGGGGUGAAAUCCCGGGGCUCAACCCCGGAACUGCCCUUGAAACUGGAUGGCUAGAAUACUGGAGAGGUGAGUGGAAUUCCGAGUGUAGAGGUGAAAUUCGUAGAUAUUCGGAAGAACACCAGUGGCGAAAGGCGACUCACUGGACAGUUAUUGACGCUGAGGUGCGAAAGCGUGGGGGAGCAAACAGGAUUAGAUACC